UGAGGAUAUAGGAUGGCAGGUGAGGAUAUAGGAUGGCAGGUGAGUGUAUAGGAUGGCAGGUGAGUGUAUAGGAUGGCAGGUGAGGAUAUAGGAUGGCAGGUGAGGAUAUAGGAUGGCAGGUGAGGAUAUAGGAUGGCAGGUGAGUGUAUAGGAUGGCAGGUGAGUGUAUAGGAUGGCAGGUGAGGAUAUAGGAUGGCAGGUGAGGAUAUAGGAUGGCAGGUGAGGAUAUAGGAUGGCAGGUGAGGAUAUAGGAUGGCAGGUGAGUGUAUAGGAUGGCAGGUGAGGAUAUAGGA